GGACUUAUAACUCAGUGGUUAGAGUAUACACCUGAUAAGUGUAAAGUCGGUAGUUCGAUUCUACCUAAGUCCA
rfam:Fonticula alba strain ATCC 38817 mitochondrial scaffold supercont2.211, whole genome shotgun sequence.